UCGGUGAACCUUCCUAAGUGAGAUCACCCUUGAACCUUUGGAUGAGUAGUCCUCCAUGUGGUAGGCCAACUGCGACAAGCGAUACUGCGCUCUGAUUGGCUUCUUCUCAGGCCAUCCAUAUUCACGGAAAAGGAUCUACACAGGAUGACCACAGCUCCAAACAGCAGUCCGCCAGUCACCAGCCAAUCUGGUCUCAGCAGCAGGUUGCGUCUCCGUCUGAUUCCCAUUCUGGUCACAUGACGUGGGGCAGCGGGAAAGAACGGGCCGGGCUCAUAACACUGGCCGCCCGCAGGCAUCACCCGCACAUACUGAGGGAAAACAAAAUUGUGGGAAACAGUUGCUGGAGCUCCUUUGGGAGUCCGCCGUGGACGCCGAAGAAGCCUGCCUCUGCAAUCGGACAUCAAGAGAGAUCAAGAUGUGACAGCCGAUGGGAGAAAGACAUACAUGCACACACACAGAAAGUCACUUUGUGUGCUGUGUGUCCACCUGUUGUCUGAACAAUGUAGACAGAAUGCGAGGAGUUCAGGUGGCUGUUGCACUCUAGAGUCCCCUGGGGGUCCCACUGUUUAAAAACCAUCUCGAGCACCUUGCCUGAGAUGCCUGACACCUGCACAAACACGAUAGCAGUGUUCGCCUUUAACAGGUCACCGCAAUACAAGAGACGCUUGUCUUGUGCGUUCACUGCUGGUGCAAUGAAGAUGAUAUUGUGUAAAGGUUUUGUGUGCGUUUUCUGACCAUGUAUUGUAACUCAAACUCUUCAUUAUGUUAAUUCUGUGACAGUUUUAAAUGGGAAUACUGUGUGUAUGGGUAUGGAUAUCAUGUGUAGGAAGAACACUUCUCAAAUGCACUGGGUUUUAAAAUACCAGAAAUAAUCAUUCAUCUGUCAUCAUUUAUUCCU